GACGAACCGUGCGAACGUUGUUCGGAAUCACUGGGCUUAAAGGGCGCGUAGGCGGCUUGCCAAGUCAGGAGUGAAAUCUUUCGGCUCAACCGGAAAAGUGCUCUUGAUACUGGCGAGCUAGAGGGAGAUAGGGGGCAUGUGGAACUCCGGUGGAGCGGUGAAAUGCGUUGAUAGUCGGAAGGAACGCCGGUGGCGAAAGCGACGUGCUGGACCUCUUCUGACGCUGAUGCGCGAAAGCCAGGGGAGCAAACGGG
rnacentral:rRNA from 1 species